rnacentral:ncRNA from 1 species
AUAGAUGCAAUGAAUAGGAAGAGUAGAAUGAUUUUGCAUGCAUUAGAGAGGAAACGGUAGCUGAAAAGUUUCUGCUUGCAACCAUUUGAACGUAGCCUAAGAGCAACUUUUGUGAAAUAGUAGUAACAAAAUGUCGGUUAAACACCGUUAUCGUAAUGAGAGCUAACUUCAGAAAAACGCAUGAUAUAUGUGCAUUUUGUUUUCUGAUUAGAAUAAAGGUGGUACCGCGGAAAAAUGAUAAAACUCCUUCGUCCUUUUU